UACGUAGGGGGCAAGCGUUGUCCGGAAUUAUUGGGCGUAAAGAGCGUGUAGGCGGUCCGGUAAGUCAGCUGUGAAAGUCAAGGGCUCAACCCUUGAAAGCCGGUUGAUACUGUCGGGCUAGAGUCCGGAAGAGGCGAGUGGAAUUCCCGGUGUAGCGGUGAAAUGCGCAGAUAUCGGGAGGAACACCAAUGGCGAAGGCAGCUCGCUACACGAAUAUUGACUCUGAGGCACGAAAGCGUGGGGAUCAAACAGG
rnacentral:rRNA from 1 species